UAAUAUAUACAUAGGCACACAGAUGC
rnacentral:piRNA from 1 species